CCUACGGGAGGCAGCAGUGAGGAAUAUUGGUCAAUGGACGAGAGUCUGAACCAGCCAAGUAGCGUGAAGGAUGACUGCCCUAUGGGUUGUAAACUUCUUUUAUAAGGGAAUAAAAUGUUCCACGUGUGGGUUUUUGUAUGUACCUUAUGAAUAAGGAUCGGCUAACUCCGUGCCAGCAGCCGCGGUAAUACGGAGGAUCCGAGCGUUAUCCGGAUUUAUUGGGUUUAAAGGGAGCGUAGGUGGCUUGUUAAGUCAGUUGUGAAAGUUUGCGGCUCAACCGUAAAAUUGCAGUUGAUACUGGCAGUCUUGAGUACAGUAGAGGUAGGCGGAAUUCGUGGUGUAGCGGUGAAAUGCUUAGAUAUCACGAAGAACUCCGAUUGCGAAGGCAGCUCACUGGACUGCAACUGACACUGAUGCUCGAAAGUGUGGGUAUCAAACAGGAUUAGAUACCCUUGUAGUC
rnacentral:rRNA from 1 species